UUCGGCCUGGAUUCGGGCUCCUCGUGUUCCACCUGAAAGCGUUUAUGAGUGUGGAGGGGAGACUGGAGAUCUGGGCAAAGUGAACGCGGCGCCGGACUAGGUUCUGGGCCGGUCUCCGCCAAGCCGCGGCCCUCCCCUGCGAGGCCCGCUCAGAGCGGGGCUGGGAGUCAGGAGCUGGGAGGGGGAGGUGCGCCAGCCUCGUAUCUUCUGCAGGCAUCGCACUUAUCUUGGAGCCUCAGUUCUUCCUCUAACCGGGACUUAUCUCGCCAGUAGUCAGGGGUGAAUUUGUAAAACAAACCGUGAAACGCCCCCACCCUAGAGGGGCAGAGGCUGGUUCCAGUUCAGUCCAGCAGAAAUGAAUUCAUGAGGAAGAGGCCGGGAAUUUUCCCUCUCAUCUUAUCUGACCCAGCAUCAGGGAGACGCCAGCCUGAGCUGACCUGGGCCUCAGGUUCUCCUGACCACCCAGUACCUGUCUUUAUUCAACAUCCUCUUUCCAGAUUUUCCGUGGAGACAGCUGCCAUCGACAACACUUAGAGCCUCCAGAAAUGACCCUUGGUGCCGACUUGUCUGGAAGCCAUCAGGAAAUCGAAGCAAAGAGUAAAAUGAGAAGCAAGGGAAACAAAGCCGUGUUCCAAGGCUCUGAGCCCGAGGUCCACUCUCUCUUCGCUUAUGGUGACAUCUGCCAGGGUGACCAGGGUGUUCAAGACGGGUCAGCCCUAAGCUGAGACUGGACGCCAUCGGAAGGACUGAAAAAGAAUGGAAGUGGACAUUGUUUUUUCGCUCUGGGAUCCUGUGCGUGGAGAGGGGUGUUCUGCUCCCACGCUCGCACCCCUCGGGGCAUUUGGGGGACCCAACUUGCUCUCCUAGAGCCUUUUAACAGGACAGUACCAUUAAGGCUCCUGCGGGCAGAUUUUGAGGUUCGGGGCUCCGCUGCUCCCCUCGCCUCGGAAUCAUGGCUGAGCUUUUGCUCUGUUCACGCAUUCAUUCAUUCAUUCAUUCAUUCACCGUGAAGGGCUUCCCCCGAAUUUGGGGCCGUGGCCCCCGUCGGUUACUGCCUCAGAAUAAGACUUUUAAAAGACACAAGAUUACUAGUUAAAAGCAGUACGGAAAAAAAUAACAGUAUCAUCAACACAUGCUCCUUAUGAAUGUGAUAAAGGACACAGUGGCCUUACUAUUGUACUUCCGAAGGCAGGGUGGGCGGAACAACAUCGUGGGCAACUCAGUCACACACCCGUCUUCAAUAGGAGAAGGUCACAUUACUUGUGAUUCUGCUGGGGACUAAGUGACAGCCACUGCCAACCCUGCGGGUGUAUUACCUAUAUUCAAAAUGGAACGGAAGACUCAUUUCACUGCAACGAAAGUGUGAUUUUUCCCCCCAUGCAAGUUCACAGGUCACAACAUCCCUCCAGGGACUCCCGCACCCCUGUUGGUGUCCCUGGGGGGACCCCAGCGUAGGAAGCCGAAGUAUAGAGACAAUGAAUUGGUCUCUUGGUCUCAGUAGGGACAGAGAAAAGUUUUCAUCAGGAACAGGCAUCGUUUGGAAGGCUGACUCAAUCUGCUGACAGGGCAAGCCAGGGCAGAAGAAGUUACUAUCAAGAACGUGUUAAGGAAUAUUUCUCAGCGGGUCCAAGACCACCCCGCCCCGGAGGUCUGGCUUAAUGCGGUCUGAGCUCAGAGAGGGCUUCCUCGGACACAUCCGUGGGAAGAAGAAAGGAAGAAAUGCGGAGGUAAUGGCGGAAUGACAGAGAAAGAGCAGAAAGUCAAAUUCGCCCUCGGGCAUCAUUAACUCAGUCUUACAGCUAGGGAAACUGAGGCCCAGAGAGGAAAAGGCAAGGUCACAAAGAAAAAAAAAAUCCUAACGGCUAGAUGCCUUAGCUCAUCAUUGGCUCUUCCUCUUGGCCUGGCACCAAAUGGCAAGUCCCUUUGGCUCUCUGGGCCUCAAUUUGCUGUUCUACAAAAUGGGCUAAUCAUAUCAGCUUCUCGCAAUUGCUGAACAGGAAAGACAAGCUCCCUUCUGAGAAAGAAUUUACCCUAAUGCCUGGCACCGAGCUGGUGCCAAGUAAGUAGAUUUCCUCAUUCUUCCUUGGCAGCGUUUCAUCCAGAGUAGGGGUGAAGUGCCUGCUGAGUUUUGUGAGCUACGCUAGCACUCUCCAAAGUUUGCUGCUGUUGUUUUACUACAAUGGUUCCAACAGAACAAACAAGAGACCCUGGUAGAAUGCAUUCCCAUACACCCACCACCUGGCUCCGGGGAUUCUGUCGUUGGCCAGUCUCGGUACAUUUAUACCCAUGGUGGAUUGUUUAAAUGCAAAUGCAGACGCCAUAGCCUUGCAUUUGGAAAUACUUCAGCGCGUGACUCUGAAAAAUAAGAUGAAUUUGAGGAAGACACACAACCCCAACACUGUUAUCCUACGCUGCCCCCGCCCCUGCAAAAGCCAUGAUUGUGUAAAUCUUAUGAAAUAUCCAGUUAGGACUCAAUGUUCCCUGAUUGUCUCCCUUAUUUUUAUUAUUUCAUUACACUUGGUUUAAUGAAACCAAGUCAGGACGCAGCCCAGGGGUCCACACUGUGUUUAAUUCAUCCCCCCCUUUUUUCUUUCUGAAAACACUUAGAACGGAAAUAAGGGAAUCAUCCUGACUCUCACCAUUUGCAUUCCUGUGGUGCCAUUUUUGAC